rnacentral:rRNA from 1 species
UACGUAGGGGGCGAGCGUUGUCCGGAAUCAUUGGGCGUAAAGCGCGUGUAGGCGGCCCGGUAAGUCCGCUGUGAAAGUCCAGGGCUCAACCCUGGGAUGCCGGUGGAUACUGUCGGGCUCGAGUCCGGAAGAGGCGAGUGGAAUUCCUGGUGUAGCGGUGAAAUGCGCAGAUAUCAGGAGGAACACCAAUGGCGAAGGCAGCUCGCUGGGACGUGACUGACGCUGAGACGCGAAAGCAUGGGGAGCGAACAGG